rnacentral:rRNA from 1 species
UACGGAGGGUGCAAGCAUUGAUCGGAAUUACUGGGCGUAAAGGGCGCGUAGGCGGUUUUAAAAGUCAGAUGUGAAAUUCCGGGGCUCAACUUCGGAGCUGCAUUUGAAACUUUAGAGCUAGAGUACAGUUAGGGUAAACGGAAUUCCACGUGUAGCGGUGAAAUGCGUAGAUAUGUGGAAGAACACCGGUGGUGAAGACGGUUUACUGGGCUGAAACUGACGCUGAGGCGCGAAAGCUAGGGGAGCAAACAGG